rnacentral:rRNA from 1 species
GAGUUUGAUCCUGGCUCAGAACGAACGUUGGCGGCGUGGAUUAGGCAUGCAAGUCGAACGAAUCCCAGGGGGCUUGCUCUCUGGGGGAAGUGGCGAAAGGGGCAGUAAGGCGUGGGUAACCUACCCCGGGGACGGGGAUAGCCAUUCCAACGAGUGGGUAAUACCCGGCGAUGUGUCGAGGAGACAUCUCCUUGCCACGAAAGGAAUUUCGCCUCGGGAGGGGCUCACGUGGUAUUAGCUAGUUGGUAGGGUAACGGCCUACCAAGGCGAAGAUGCCUAGCGGGUGUGAGAGCACGACCCGCGCCACUGGCACUGAGACACUGGCCAGACUCCUACGGGAGGCUGCAGUCGAGGAUCUUCGGCAAUGGGCGCAAGCCUGACCGAGCGACGCCGCGUGUGCGAUGAAGGCCUUCGGGUUGUAAAGCACUGUCGAGGGGGAGGAAGCCGCAAGGUUGACCUAUCCCUGGAGGAAGGACGGGCUAAGUUCGUGCCAGCAGCCGCGGUAAGACGAACCGUCCUAACGUUGUUCGGAAUCACUGGGCUUAAAGGGCGCGUAGGCGGAUCAUCAAGUCCGGGGUGAAAUCUUUCGGCUCAACCGGAAAAGUGCCUUGGAUACUGGUGGUCUGGAGGGAGGUAGGGGCAUGUGGAACUUCCGGUGGAGCGGUGAAAUGCGUUGAUAUCGGAAGGAACUCCGGUGGCGAAAGCGACGUGCUGGACCUCUUCUGACGCUGAGGCGCGAAAGCUAGGGGAGCAAACGGGAUUAGAUACCCCGGUAGUCCUAGCCCUAAACGAUGGGUACUAGGUAGUGGACUUAACAUGGGUUCACUGCCGAAGCAAAAGUGUUAAGUACCCCGCCUGGGGAGUAUGGUCGCAAGGCUGAAACUCAAAGGAUUGACGGGGGCUCACACAAGCGGUGGAGCAUGUGGCUUAAUUCGAGGCUACCC